UGUCGCGCUACCAUGCAGUCGAGCGGAGCCAGGGCUUGUGUCUCGCAUUCGACGACUGACGGAUGAGUGAUGCCUGUGAGUCUGCCUGGCUGUGGGGGGGGGCUUUUUACUGGGAACGGUAGUACCGCAUACAUCCUACCGCAGAAAGCAGGAGGGCUUCCUUCCUUGCUCUUGCCAAUGAAUGUACGUCGGAUUAACUAGUUGGUGAGGUAAUGACUCACUCACGUAACCAUCCAUCCCUGGCUGGACAGAAUGAACGACCACACUGGAACUGACUGACACUCCAUACUCACUCCUACGGCAGGCAUGGGGAAUAUUGAUUGAUGAAUGGGCGCCUGAUCCAUCCAUGCCUGCCGUGUGUAGAAAGACUUCCUUUUGUUUGGCACUUACUUUUGGGAGGAAGGAUUGUGUAUUAAUACUCUGCAAUUUUGACGUUACCUACCGAAUAAACACCGGCUAACUCUGUGCCAGCAGCCGCGGUAAUACAUAGGGUGCAAGCGUUAAUCGGAAUUACUUACUGGUAAAGCGCGCGUAGGUGGUUCGUUAAGUUGGAUGUGAAAUCCCCGGCCUCAACCUGGGAACUGCAUCCUAAACUGGUGAGCUACUAUAUGGUUGAGGGUGGUGGAAUUUCUUGUGUAGUAGUGAAAUGCUGCGAUAUAGAUAAGGAACAAUACUGGCGAAGGCGACCACCUGGACUGCUACUGAUGCUGAUGUGCUGAAACAUCGUGAGCAAAAAAGAUGAUAUAAUAUGCUGGUCCACCCCGUAAACAACGACGACUACCCGUUGGGAGCCUUGAUGUCUUAUGGGUUCAGCUAAUAAAUCAUUUUGACCACCUGGUGAGUAGUGCCGGCCAGGUUAAUACAACCUAUGAUGUAUUGGGGGCCGCUCCCACCAGCGGAGCAUGAUGGUUUUAUUACUUAGCUGCACGAAGAAGCAUUAUUACGUACUUGUCGUCAUACUGAACUUUUAGAGAUGAAGUGUUGGCGUUCUGCGAGCAUUUAUGACAGAAGCUGCUGGACUGCGGUCAGCUCCUGUGUGAGA
rnacentral:rRNA from 1 species